rnacentral:rRNA from 1 species
UCCGUAGGGUGAACCUGCGGAGGGAUCAUUGCUGGAACGCGCCCUAGGCGCACCCAGAAACCCUUUGUGAACUUAUACCUUACUGUUGCCUCGGCGCAUGCUGGCCCCCUCGGGGUCCCCUGGAGACAGGGAGCAGGCACGCCGGCGGCCAAGUUAACUCUUGUUUUUACACUGAAACUCUGAGAAAAAAACACAAAUGAAUCAAAACUUUCAACAACGGAUCUCUUGGUUCUGGCAUCGAUGAAGAACGCAGCGAAAUGCGAUAAGUAAUGUGAAUUGCAGAAUUCAGUGAAUCAUCGAAUCUUUGAACGCACAUUGCGCCCUCUGGUAUUCCGGAGGGCAUGCCUGUUCGAGCGUCAUUUCAACCCUCAAGCAUUGCUUGGUGUUGGGGCACUGCUUUUUACCAAGCAGGCCCUGAAAUCUAGUGGCGAGCUCGCCAGGACCCCGAGCGCAGUAGUUAAACCCUCGCUCUGGAAGGCCCUGGCGGUGCCCUGCCGUUAAACCCCCAACUUCUGAAAAUUUGACCUCGGAUCAGGUAGGAAUACCCGCUGAACUUAAGCAUAUCAAUAAGCGGAGGA